UUUCUUCUUCCAUUCUCUCCAAAUUCACCUCUAUUCUUCUUCAGUUUAACGAUUAAAGUUUGGUUGAAAAUAUUUGAAUUGUGAUUAAAGUUUGCUUGAAAGGGUGAUUAAAGAAACCACAAACUGAAGAUGAGCCUUCAUUAAAGAGGACAAGAGGAAGACCAAGAAAAACAUCUAUUCCACCUGCAUCACCUAGUACUUCUGCAGUAUCCAAUGCAUCUGCAGCACCUUGUGCACCUCAUAUAUAUCCAACACCUGUUGAUUACCCUGAAUUCUCUUCUACACCUCCUAAUUAUCAUGCAUCUUCAAGACCUACUAAUAUCCAAAGAGGAAGGGGUAGACAUAUGGGAAGGCCAACAAUCAUUGAAAGGGAUUUGUUUCAAGCUGAAAAUGGAUCAAAGUCCUUAAUCCUAGUAUGCCAACUUGUAAGAUCUUCUCUAUUGGUACAACAAAGGUGACAAGAUCAACUGAUAUUACUGGUGAUAUUGGUUUCAAACCAAGUACUACAAGUAAGCUGAAAUAAAAUGGAAGAGUAGCUAUCGCAACAAGAAAACUUGAAGAAAUGAGAAUGAAACAAAGAAAAAAAUCAAUAGAAAGCAGUUCAAAUAAUCCAAUUCAAAAUGACACUUUUUGACAAUUUAGGAAGCAAUGAUAUUGCAGUAUUGUUUUA